rnacentral:lncRNA from 1 species
ACUCCUCAGAGAUAGGAACCAUUGAAGGUACCAAUCACUUAAGAUAAAAAAAUGGGGGGAAGAAAUCACGGCGGACAUAAAGCUAAAUAUAUAAUUCCUCUCGUGCCGGUAAUCACGACGUCCAGACGAUUUGGAAUGACAGUUUAAACGCUUCAGAUUAAAGCAACGCUCUGUUAGAAGGGGAUCAGUCUUUCCUUACUGCGAUGGGUGCACGGGCAGCCAAGCCCGCGGCGAGACGUGCAUGGACCCGCCCAGGGACCCCCCAAACAAGCGCACGUUCCACCUGUGACACUGAAAUGGCUCAAAGGCCACAAGGCCAGGUCAACACAGUCAUCACAGGCCACAAGGCCAGGUCAACACAGUCAUCACAGGCCACAAGGCCAGGUCAACACAGUCAUCACAGGCCAC